AACGAACGCUGGCGGCAUGCCUAACACAUGCAAGUCGAACGAACCCUUCGGGGUUAGUGGCGCACGGGUGCGUAACGCGUGGGAAUCUGCCCUUUGCUUCGGAAUAACUCAGGGAAACUUGUGCUAAUACCGGAUGAUGUCUUCGGACCAAAGAUUUAUCGGCAAGGGAUGAGCCCGCGUAGGAUUAGGUAGUUGGUGGGGUAAAGGCCUACCAAGCCGACGAUCCUUAGCUGGUCUGAGAGGAUGAUCAGCCACACUGGGACUGAGACACGGCCCAGACUACUACGGGAGGAAGCAGUGGGGAAUAUUGGACAAUGGGCGCAAGCCUGAUCAAGCAAUGCCGCGUGAGUGAUGAAGGCCCUCGGGUCGUAAAGCUCUUUUACCAGGGAUGAUAAUGACAGUACCUGGAGAAUAAGCUCCGGCUAACUCCGUG
rnacentral:rRNA from 1 species